AAAUCUUCCCAUUGGGAAUCCGGUUAUUUUCUGUGGAAUUAUUUUUUUUGUUUCCUUUUCUACUCUAGUAUGUAAAUUAAACGAUCACUCUAAGCACAAGCGGUAUCAGUAAUCCUCCAGAUUCUAUACAUCGAUUAGAAAGACCUUCAAAUUAUAACUCCUGUGGUUAUCUGGCCACCUAUUGCAUUAACCCCUUAAGGACCAAACUUCUGGAAUAAAAGGGAAUCAUGACAUGUCACACAUGUCAUGUGUCCUUAAGGGGUUAAAGGAAGUUAUAAGCCAUCAAUAAAUGGGUGGCAGGGUUUCAGAUCCCUGGUGUAACUGGGACAGCUUUGCAAAAUGUACUGUUUGUAAUUGUAAGUCCAUCUGUAAAGAUUUUAGAAACU